GGUCAUGAGUACCAGCGUCAAGCCCCGGCUAGCUGGUCGGCAACCCUCCAACCGCGGUGGGGUGCUCCGGGUGACGACCGGGCCGUGAAUCCACUACCGGACACGGCAAGCGCGGACU
rnacentral:ncRNA from 2 species